UGGGGAAUAUUGCACAAUGGGCGAAAGCCUGAUGCAGCAACGCCGCGUGAGUGAUGAAGGCCUUCGGGUUGUAAAGCUCUGUCUUUUGGGAUGAUAAUGACGGUACCAAAGGAGGAAGCCACGGCUAACUACGUGCCAGCAGCCGCGGUAAUACGUAGGUGGCAAGCGUUGUCCGGAUUUACUGGGCGUAAAGGAUGCGUAGGCGGAUUUUUAAGUGAGAUGUGAAAAACCCUAAGCUUAACUUGGGGACUGCAUUUCAUACUGGAAAAUCUAGAGUGCGGGAGAGGAGAAUGGAAUUCCUAGUGUAGCGGUGAAAUGCGUAGAGAUUAGGAAGAACACCAGUGGCGAAGGCGAUUCUCUGGACCGUAACUGACGCUGAGGCAUGAAAAGCGUGGGUAGCAAAACAGGAUUAGAUACCCUGGUAGUCCACGCCGUAAAACGAUGAGUACUAGGUGUAGGAGGUAUCGACCCCUUCUGUGCCGCAGUUAAACACAAAUAAGUACUCCGCCUGGGAAGUAACGACCGCAAGAUUAAAAAACUUAAAAUGAAAUUGACGGGGGUCAUAGCUGUUUUCCU
rnacentral:rRNA from 1 species